GACACUAUGGCCGAGUGGUUAAGGCGACAGAUUCGAACGUACUUAUCUGUUUCGAUUUUCGAGCGCAGGUUCAAAUCCUGCUGGUGUCG